rnacentral:rRNA from 1 species
AUUGAACGCUGGCGGCAUGCUUUACACAUGCAAGUCGAACGGUAACAGGUUAAGCUGACGAGUGGCGAACGGGUGAGUAAUGCAUCGGAACGUGCCCGAUCGUGGGGGAUAACGCAGCGAAAGCUGCGCUAAUACCGCAUACGAUCUGAGGAUGAAAGCGGGGGACCGUAAGGCCUCGCGCGCUCGGAGCGGCCGGUGGCAGAUUAGGUAGUUGGUGGGGUGAAGGCCCACCAAGCCGACGAUCUGUAGCUGGUCUGAGAGGACGACCAGCCACACGCGGACGGAGACACGGCCCAGACUCCUACGGGAGGCAGCAGUGGGGAAUUGUGGACAAUGGGCGAAAGCCUGAUCCAGCAAUGCGACGUGCAGGAAGAAGGCCUUCGGGUUGUAAACUGCUUUUGUACGGAGCGAAAAGGUCCUUUCUAAUACAAGGGGCUCAUGACGGUACCGUAAGAAUAAGCACCGGCUAACUACGUGCCAGCCGCCGCAGUAA